CCAGCUGUGGCACAGUGGUUUGAGCGUUGGACUAAAACUCUUGAGACAAGGUUCGAUUCCCAGCUCGG